UUGAUUUAAAUCAUUGUGGAUGUAUAUUUUGAAAAUUGAACUCACACAAAAUGGUGGGACAUACAUUGAUUUCAUCCAA
rfam:Medicago truncatula strain A17 chromosome 1, whole genome shotgun sequence.